rnacentral:rRNA from 3 species
CAGCAGGCGCGCAAAUUACCCACUCCCAGCACGGGGAGGUAGUGACGAAAAAUAACAAUACGGGACUCUUUUGAGACCCCGUAAUUGGAAUGAGUACACUCUAAAUCCUUUAACGAGGAUCCAUUGGAGAGCAAGUCUGGUGCCAGCAGUCGCGGUAAUUCCAGCUCCAAUAGCGUAUAUUAAAGUUGUUGCGGUUAAAAAGCUCGUAGUUGGAUCUCAGCUCCGGCCGGACGGUCCGCCUACCGGUGGUCACUGUUCGCUGCCGAGCGUUCAGGGGGCUCUCGCAGAUGAUCUUCACCGGUUGUCUGCGGGGACCCUCACGUUUACUUUGAAAAAAUUAGAGUGCUCAAAGCAGGCGCGACGCCUGAAUAAUUGUGCAUGGAAUAAUGGAAUAGGACCUCGGUUCUAUUUUGUUGGUUUUCGGAACACGAGGUAAUGAUUAAGAGGGACAGACGGGGGCAUUCGUAUUGCGACGCUAGAGGUGAAAUUCUUGGACCGUCGCAAGACGAACUACUGCGAAAGCAUUUGCCAAGAAUGUUUCCAUUAAUCAAGAACGAAAGUUAGAGGUUCGAAGGCGAUCAGAUACCGCCCUAGUUCUAACCAUAAACGAUGCCAGCCAGCGAUCCGGCUGUGUUCCUCAAAUGACACGCCGGGCAGCUUCCGGGAAACCAAAGCUUUUGGGUUCCGGGGGAAGUAUGGUUGCAAAGCUGAAACUUAAAGGAAUUGACGGAAGGGCACCACCAGAAAUGGAGCCUGCGGCUUAAUUUGACUCAACACGGGAAAACUUACCCGGCCCGGACACAGGAAGGAUUGACAGAUUAAGAGCUCUUUCUUGAUUCUGUGGGUGGUGGUGCAUGGCCGUUCUUAGUUGGUG